ensembl:lncRNA
AUCAAACAGCCUCGGAGCCGCCAGCGAUCGAGUUACCAUGAGCAACGCCGCCCGCGCGCCUGCCUGGAGCCACCACUGGCCUCCACCGGCCAACAUGUGGCCACACUAAUCCUUCCCAGAGAGUGAGAGAGAGAAAGAGAGAAGGGAGAAGAGAGAGAGAGAGAGAGAGAGAGAGAGAGAACCAGGUUCCUCUAAUGGAACGUAAUGUUUUGAUAUAGCCUGUAAUGCCUACAGUCUACACCGUGUGUCCUAUAUGUACUAUAUAAGAAUGUGUGUGAGUAUAUUGAUAACUCUCUGCCCUUUUUCAUCCCUAAACGACUUAACACGUUAGGUGAAAACGUUCAGCUCAGGUCAUGUGUUUUUCUCUCACUCGAUUUCGAUCUCCAUGACGAAUAGGAGUCCGUCAUGAGCAUCUGGAGUGCAAUUGCUUAAUCGGGCUGUAAUCGUGUUUGCCUUGGAAGCUGCGGCUUUUUUAAAAAAAAAAGGACGUGCUAAAAGUUGCCUCGGGAGCACACGCAGCUCCGUGUGAGAGCACACACUCGCACUCUUGCACACGCGUGGUUUCGUCUUUCAUUCGCUCGCUGCCCGCUGGCUUCGCUUGUGCACACGGUACUGUCAGUUUUACAGUAUGUGUUUUUAAAAAAAAAAAAAAAAAAAAAACCCAACGAGAGCUCUAUGCCCGUGUCUCUGGCUCCGUUCUUCCUCAAAAAUCACGUACAGAGCCGUGGUGUACGUCCUGAUCAGUCAUCACUCUCUCUCUCUCUCUCUCUCUCACACACACACACUUUCACACCCCACAACAGCUGCAUUCAAGUGCAGUCAGUGACCCGCAAAGACCAAUUAAAUCUACACGAUCACUAUAUAAGCAGUCAGACACAGAGGACCUGUUCAGAGCCUGUUCAAUGGCACUCAUAUUUAAUAGUGAUUCUGGUCAUUAAGUAAAUUUAAGGGGGUUACCACAUGGGUGUCAUUUAUUUUUGUCAUUGACCCUAGGCUACAGAAUGAGAUAUACACACUUUACUAAAUGACUAAACACCUCGACACAUCCCCUGUGUGUGUGUGUGUUUGUAUAUAUGUAUGGUAAGGAUUAAAAGGAUCCCACAUAGAAUUUCCUAUUUGGGACGGAAACGAAGCGUAACAAGGGGUAGCUGAUAAAUGAAAUUACGGAACAGAAUAAUAAUAAAUAGUAUAUAAUAGUAAAUAAUAAAUGAACUUUCUUCUGAACUGCUGAUUUAGACUACUGACUUAGACUAGCAAAAGACGUGCCGAAUUGGUAUUUUCCUGAUGUAGGUAUUUAAUCUCAAAGCAUUUAAGAGCACAGGAGUCGAGCGGCUCUUCGUGUUCAGGUAGAUGAAUAGCUCACUAAAUGACUAGCUAAGGAAAUGUCUAGCUAACUAAUUGUCUAGCUCACUAAAUGAUUAGCUAACUAAAUGUCUAGCUCACUAAAUGUCUAGCUCACUAAAUGAUUAGCUAACUAAAUGUCUAGCUAACUAAAUGUCUAGCUCACUAAAUGAUUAGCUAACUAAAUGUCUAGCUAACUAAAUUACUAGUUCACUAAAUUACUAGCUCACUAAAUGUCUAGCUCACUAAAUGUCUAGCUCACUAAAUGACUAGCUCACUAAAUGACUAGCUAACUAAAUGUCUAGCUCACUAAAUGUCUAGCUCACUAAAUGAUUAGCUCACUAAAUGUCUAGCUAACUAAAUUACUAGUUCACUAAAUUACUAGCUCACUAAAUGUCUAGCUCACUAAAUGACUAGCUCACUAAAUGACUAGCUCACUAAAUGACUAGCUAACUAAAUGACUAGCUAACUAAAUGUCUAGCUAACUAAAUGUCUAGCUCACUAAAUGAUUAGCCCACUAAAUGUCUAGCUCACUAAAUGUCUAGCUAACUAAAUUACUAGCUCACUAAAUGACUCGCUCACUAAAUGUCUAGCUCACUAAAUGAUUAGCUCACUAAAUGUCUAGCUCACUAAAUUACUAGUUCACUAAAUUACUAGCUCACUAAAUGUCUAGCUCACUAAAUGUCUAGCUAACUAAAUUACUAGCUCACUAAUUGUCUAGCUCACUAAUUGUCUAGCUCACUAAAUGACUAGCUCACUAAAUAACUAGCUCACUAAAUGACUAGCUCACUAAAUAACUAGCUCACUAAAUGAUUAGCUCACUAAAUGACUAGCUCACUAAAUAACUAGCUCACUAAAUGAUUAGCUCACUAAAUGAUUAGCUCACUAAAUGACUAGCUCACUAAAUAACUAGCUCACUAAAUGAUUAGCUCACUAAAUGACUAGCUCACUAGUAUAUCAGCUAACUUUCGUUAAUGUUAGCAAUGUUUGCUCUCCAAGUUUUUCCAGACUUCGCAGUUGUAUAAAUGGAAAUAAAUCUUAAGCAAAAAUCAAAAUGGCUGCCGCAGUGUGUCACAUGCAAGGAUAUUAAUACUGCCAUUGUGUUCCUCUUUUCUAUGUUUUUCCGGCUUGAUACGGGUUAAAAAAGCAUCGCAACACAUUAACACGGCUUAACACAUGACAUUAAACAGUACACAUUACACUGUAUUGCUUCAGCGUUGGAUUAUAAAGUUGCAUAAAAUCUAUGAAAAGCUUUGGUAAAACUUCUCUCACGCCAGUCUCAUCAAAUGUAAGUGAGUUAGACUUUGAGUUUUUGUGAUUUUUUUUUUGUUGUUGUUGUUUUUCCAGUACAUAGCGAAUGUAGAGAAUGAGUUUUAUAAAAUGCUGGAGUAUCCCUUUAAACCAUUAGGACGGUAUGAUAUGUUUCCCAGCUCACCAGCCUGGAACAGACCGGCUGCUCUCCGUCACUGCUCAGAGUUGUGUCUGCGAGGAAUGUCGCUGAUGUCAACACACUGCCCAAUCUGUCGGAAACUAUUUCAAAGCUCCGAAGCCUGUGUGAUCCCCGCUUUGGCCUCGCUCCACGGCACAACCCCGCUAAAGCCUGCGUGCUGCUACCUGUGAAAUUGGAGUUAGCUUUGAUUCUAGCUAGAGCUGUUAAUGUUAAUGCUAGUGCUAAUAUCUGGAAAGUCCCAAAAAUACAGCUCAAAAUACAGAAUAAAGAUCGCACUGAUAUCAAAGUGCACUUUCACGCCUAUUGGUCAGAAUCUGAUUGGUACACAAAUCGCUUUCUCACUGCAAUUAGAAGUGGACCGAGACCACCUCGCUUCCUUUUUCUCUCCACACCGAUGAAGUAAACACGUAACCGUCCUAAUCACCAUUGCCGCCCUGUUUAUAGGCACCAUGCUAACCAAAUUAGCCCGGCAUCACCUCCACACCCUGCCUAGUGAGCUUCUCCUCACAAUAUAUAAGCCGGACUCGGUUUUUGACUCGCGCGAGCGGCGGUAAACAGAGAGUAGACGUUACGAGGAGACUCUGGUCUGCACCGCCGGAGACGGCCAGCUGUCCCAGCGUGAGGCCAGGUGGCUGUGAGAGUGGAGCGCAGGGGGUCGAGUAGAGAAUAACUCCAAUACAGCAUGCACUACAGUUACAGAGCAGAAAGCUAUCUGCUGUGUAAACGGUCCUGGCAAGCCGAGGGUGAAAUUAACACCUGGCCUGGGCUAUUUUGGCUGAACUUUCCCCCCUCGGUGCAGGAAUGUCCACGGCGCCGAGCUCUCCGAGGGAGGCAUGGCGCUGAGCACGGCUCGCUCCACUCCGUUACAGUACAGUCUCCUAACACACACUGAUACACAGAUCGCAGAUGAGCACACACUUAGACACACAAGCGCUCACUCGUAAAUACUCUAUGGUUCAAAAGUCCGUUCUGGAACGACUUGCGAUCUUUAUUUUGUAGUGAAAUUCUGAGGGUUUUUUUUUUUUUUUUUCCAUUUCAAACUUCCGACAUUACCCACAAUGCCCUUCGCCUAAUUGCUGAGAGUGAUACAUUGAGAUUUAGCCCUGGAUUCAUUUCUGCUCACUCUAAAUGCAGCGGCGCUUUAGUCAUUUACUCUGCUCAGUUCCUGGUAUUAAAUAUAAUUGAUUAUUAUAACACUCGAAUAUUGUUUUAUUUCCUUUCUUAAUUUUGAUGAUUAUUAAUAUUAUGAAUUCAGUUGACAAGCCAAUGAACCUACUACUACUACCACACACACACACACACACACACACAGAGUAAGGUUAGCUUUGGAUGCAUGUUCUAUUAGAGGGGGAAAAAAAGAACCUUUCUUACCAUUUCCACACACCUGGACUACGCUUACCUCUCAAACACAUUCAAUUAAUAACACACUCUGUGCAGCUGUGCCGAGGCCCAGCUGUGAGUGUGUGUGUGUGUGUGUGUGUGUGUGUGUGAUCCACCUGCUAUUUCUCUCACACACCUGGAGGACAUCCUACACUACAGCACCAUUAUAAAUAUCAACAGAGCUUCUUACACACAACA